GAGCUUCGAGCGACCCUUUCCUCACUGUGUGCUGGGCUCAGCUGGUCACCUCCAUCCACCUCCCAACAAACUAGCAUGCACGCCCAUGGAAUCCGGCCAUGACAGCCCGCAACGGAGGGCCAUGCCGUAUCGCAUAUAAGACCCCCUCUCCUCAUCCACCUCUCCGCCCAUCAAAUUUUUCGUGAGCUACCAUCGCCGAGCCAUCGUACAGAAUAGAGAGAGGGAAAGAGAGGUUGGCCGCCCCGCUGACUGCUCGGGGCGGCGCCGUCGGUGGUCCGGAGUCGGACCAGGGAGCUUCACCAGGUUGCACUGUGGUGUUUCGGAGCCUCGUCGCGUGAGGGCGAAUAGUGGGGAUCCGACGAUUUCUCACCGGAGAUCAGGGAAACAUUGCCGGCCGCCCGCCACCGUGGCCAAGGGAGUCUGCGCUGCGAUUGCCGAACGUGAUAUGUUCCCAAGCUUGAGUGAACCAAUGAUCAAGCCUUGGUGAUCAAGAGUUCAAGUUCUUUGAGUUCUACAAGGUUGAAGACCCUAAGCAUCUAUUUAGUGAAGGCAAGUGUUCUCUGACCAACUUAUGUCCUAUUCACAUGAAAACUUACAUUCCCCCACAACAUGAUUCAAUCUAAGGAUUGACUAACUUUCUAUUUACCAUGUCCUUGUUUACCUUAUGGAUUGGAUUGUAAUGAUUAUCUUAAAUGUUAGCACUUAAACUUAAUCAAUGAACAUGAUGAGAUAUAUUUAUGAUA